rnacentral:lncRNA from 1 species
UAAGUUGGUGAGGUGUUGCAUAGCUUGGACACUAGGUAAGCUCUUCAGAUUAUUGCAAGAAAGAAUCCUCAGCUAUUUAAGGGAUGUAAGGCUACCCAACCAUUCCGGCACAGUCUCCACUCCGUCAAAUGAAAAUAAUGAAAGUUUCUUUUCUUAAUAAAUAACAAAACUGUGAAUAAUUUUACCUUGUCAAUAUCUCUGAUUGGACAUUUUCCUCUUAUGUACACAUGAUAGCCCGUGGAAGCUUCCACCCGCUUUAGGGAAUUGCCACAACCUAGAGAAGGGGUGAAUACAUAAGAGUAAGCAACACAGUGGAUCAAAAUGAAUUCUCAAUUGAGAAAGCCGCCUAAUGCAAAUAGAUGAAUUUAGAAAAAGUCAGUGGAUAACUGACCCAGGAAGAAACAAUGCCGUAGGCUGAUACGUAAAGAGUAUUUUGGCAGUGUUCAUGUCCACAAAAAAGUAAGCAACAUUGUGACUCAACCUGUGGAUAGAAGACCACCAUAAUUAACUCCCAAACUCCCCGGACAGCGUUGCACAUUCUAAUCCCACAUCAGGAACGAUACGAGUCUUCUGAGUGGAAUACUACUGGGUAUCUCUCAGGACCUUUAGGGAAACAUGAUUGAAGUUGAAGAAUGAUAUUGAUCCGCCUAUGAGCUUUGAUCGGAAUCCCAAUAUCCCUGUACAAAGAUAACACCAAAACAACUUAAAGAAAAAUAUAAACAACAAAUUUCAAUCUUUCUCACAUCUUGAAGAAACAUUCCAGUCAUGGUUCAACACUUAGAUUCACAAUAAGUACUCCCACGCCAUUAACUGAGAAACUCUUCAAGUCCUCUGGUACCUCGGAAUUUGGAAUUCUCGAUUGUCAAUUGAAGCUAAUGAAGAAAAUGCCAGUUGAGAAGAAUUACAUAACACAGUAUAAUAAAAUCACAAAGAGAACAAGUCUGGGCCUGUAGAACCAAAGGUAAUCCGCUGAAGGAUGAACAAUUAAGUCCCCUCAAAUUUGUUAGCAUCAUAUAUUUCUCAGCAACCUCGCGAGACAUUUGAGAAAUUACAUGCCCCAACUUGGUGCCAACAGCAAGUGAAAAGCUGCAAGAAAGAAAUCACUAUUGAGUUUUAACUUUCAAACUAAUUCUGUAUAGUAUUAGUAAAACAGAUAGCCUGAUAUGACCACAGCAGAAAAGCUUGCAUACUGUUUAAGUUGCAAUUUUGGCAACAGGAAUACCUCUCCUCUAGCAUUUUCGUUUCCUAUCCCAUAGAAUUUUAUAUCCUCAACAGAAUACCCUGCCACCGCUGAGUCAUAGCGAGUUCCAUAAAUGAACAAGCCCUCGAAGACUUUCAUGAGUAAUAUCAAGGUCCAGUGAACUUGCUGCAAAAUAAACAUUUCAUAUGGCUACUCUCAUAAUAAUCUCUCUUGAUAAUUUCAGCAAUAAUACAGGUACUCAACAGUUCAUCAAGUUACUCGAGCGAUAUCAAUUACUGACACAAAAUCAAUAGAAUUCAAAUCACUGUGCAUAUUACAAGUUGCCCCAAAACUAUGAGUCGAAAAUCUUCACAAGAAAGCAAUUACAAGAGUUCUAUAUAUUAUAUUAACGUCGUUAACCUGAAAACAAGUCUUGGGAUAAUAUAAACAAAUUUCCUCAUUGUGCAUGAACCAAUGGAAUAAGCAACCUGCAAGAGAUGGAAGCAACAAAUGUGGUAAAUCUACCACUGCCAUUGUGAUCAGAAUAAAAAGUCAUUAGCAUGUAAGGGAUGAAAGGAUGAAAUAAUAUCUAAAACAACAAACACCACAUUUCUGUAAAAAAAAAACAUAUCUUGUGCUUCAGUACCUGGACUCUGCUUGCACCUACUGCACUACAUCGUUCCCGUUGCGUAGUUUCAAUCCAAGUAUUGUCUCAGACCACAACUGAUCAUUUAAAAGAAAAGAGAGAAGGAUAAACAAAUUAUGUUAUACUAGUUUAAAUUUGAGUGUACUACUAGUGGAGACACGGAAUAAAAGAAGAAAAAUGAUAAACAUAUAACGUCAGCUCAGAAAUUUGAUUUCAAUAAUUUAAAAACCUUACUUCUGAAAUAUGGAAUGUGAGAAAUCUUAGGCCACUCUGUGCCGCUGUCCCUGCUGCAUCUUUCCUCUAAAAGGGGAUGACAUCCAUAAAUCCUUGGAGAUUGUAAGUUGGUGAGGCGUUGCAUAGCUUGGACACUUGGUAAAUUCAUCAGAUUCUUGCAAUCCCAAAUCCACAGCUCUUAAGGGAUGUAAGGCUACCCAACCAUUCUGGUAAAGUCUCCACUCCGUCAAUGCAGAAGUUGGAGCCAUGUGGAGUCGUUGUACAUACAACUGGAAUAAAAGUAAUCUUGGAGAACUGUGGCCUUGCACACCAUGAAAUUUGGUAAGGUGCUGCCUACCAUCGAUUCAACUGCUGUGUGACUUAAAAAGGAGAAGGAUAAACAAAUUUUGUUAUAGUACGUGCUUUGAAUUUUUGUGUAGUAAUAGUGGAGACACAGAAUAAAAAAACAAAAGAGAUAAACCUAUAACGUGAGCUCUGUAAUUUGAUUUCAAUAAUUUUAAAACAUACUUAGGAUAAGUGGAAUGUGAGAAAUCUUAGGUCAAUCUGUGCCAUUGUCCCUGGUGCAUCUUUGCUUUAGAAGGGGAUGACAUUCAUAAAUAGUCAGAGUAUGUAAGUUGGCUCGGCGUUGCAUAGCUUGGACACUAGGUAAAUUCAUCAGAUUCUUGCAAUCUUGAAUGUCCAUCUCUGUAAAGUAUGUAAGGUUACCCAACCAUUCUGGCAAUGUCUCCACUCUGUCAAAUUGAUAUAUCACCAAAAAUGUUAGAAGUGAGGUGUUGAAUUUGUUGAGGCGGAGACUUGAGCUUAGGCCAACCAUACAAGGCUAAAAAUCAGGGAAGGAAUCGAGCUCCUCCCAGAACCGACCGAUUUCCAAAUGAUGGAGAGAAUGGAGGCUGUCUAAACUUGGAAGACUCUCUAAAUUCGGGAUGUCUCUUAUUGUCAGCGCCUCAAACGAGAGUGGGAAUUGCAGGCUUGAAAAUUAUCUUGAGUAAUUGAAGAUUCUUUUACCUAAUUUUUGCAAUAACAGGGUAUUUGACAUUUCAUCAAGUUAGUCAAGGGAUAUGAAAUAGAGAUAAAUAAAUCAACCAAAUUCAAAUCACUGUUUAUACGAUUUGAACACUGUUCAUAAAUCACAAGUCGGUCGUACCCAGUGCACAAGGCUCCCGCUUUACGCAUGGUCUGGGAGAGGUGAAUGUCGGCUAGCCUUACCCCCAUUUAUGGAGAGGCUGCUCCCAAGUCUCGAACCCGAGACCUACCGCUCAUGGGCGAAGGCACUUGCCAUCGCACCACUUGUUCAUAAAUCACAAGUAACCAUAAAAAUAUCAGUCCAAAAUCUUCAUAAGGAUAACAAUAACAAACAGAAAGUAAUUGCAGUAGUUCUAAAUAUUAUAUGAACAUGGUUUUACAUGAUGACAAUUCUUGGCAUUACUCAUCUAACACUACUUGGGUGCUGGCAGUGUGUGAUUAAACAAGAUUCAAUACCAUGAUGGGUGAUCAAGCUAGUGGUUCAGCACUCCACUCAUACAGAUGAACUAAAGAAAGUUAAAAUAUUGAUUGAUGUUGCCGGCAUUAAGAAAGAUAACAUGUAAAGGAGAAUGCCCAAGGACUAUAAAAAGAGGUAUAUUAUUGAGAAAUGAAGGUAGAGCGAGAGAAUUAAUAUUGUGUGCAUCAGUACCUGGAGUCAGUUUAUAGCUAUUGAGCAUCAUGAAAAACGCCACAGCAUAGCAAAAGAAAUAUAGAUGGCACUGGGAAACACACAACAUAUAUAGUAAGUCAGAAGUCAACAGUAGAAUGUAUUGAUCAAUUAGAAGUAGAAGAGAAGAGGAGAUGUGGGUUUGAAAAUCUUACAUGACUUAAUUUCAAUGCAAAAGUUUGAGCCAUUUGGAGUCGUUUGUACAUAAAACUGGAAUACAAGUAAUCUCGGAGAACUGUGGCCUUGCACAUCAUGAAAUUUGAUUUUCCCAAUACACAUUUGUUGUAGUAUCGCAAGGCAUUGCAUAGCUUCAAUCCAACUGUUGUCUCAGAAGUCUCAGCCCCAAACUGAUUUAAAAGAAGAGGGAGAAGGACAAACAAAUUAUGUUAUACUAGUUUAAAUUUGAGUGUAGUACUAGUGGAGACAUGGAAUAAAAGAAGCAAAGAGAUAAACAUAUAACGUCAGCUUUGUUAUUUGAUUUCAAUAAUUUAAAAACUUACUGUCGAUUUUUGGAAUGUGAGAAAUCUUAGGCCAAUCUGUGUCGUUGUCCCUGCUGCAUCUUUCUUCUAAAAGGGGAUGACAAAUCCAAAUCUCUAGGAAUUGUAAUUUGAUCAGACCACAACUGAUCAUUUAAAAGAAAAGGGAGAAGGAUAAACAAAUUACGUUAUACUAGUUUAAAUUUCAGUGUAGUACUAGUGGAGACACGGAAGAAAAGAACAAAGGAUAUAAACAUAUAACGUCAGCUCUGUUACUUGAUUUCAAUAAUUUAAAAAACUUACUUGUGAUAUCUGGAAUGUGAGAAAUCUUAGGCCAAUCUGUGCCGCUGUUCCUCAUGCAUCUUUGCUUUAGAAGAGGAUGGCAUCCAGAAAUAUACAGAGUUUGUAAUUUGGUGAGGCGUUGCAUAGCUUGGAAUCUUGGUAAAUUCCUCAGAUUCUCGCAAGACCAAAUCGUCAGCUCUGUAAGGAAUGUAAGGCUACCCAACCAUUCUGGCAAAGUCUCCACUCCGUCAAAUGAACAUAUCUCCAAAUGUGUUAGAGAAGUGAGGUGUUGAAUUUGUUGAGGCAGAGACUUGAGCUUAGGCCAACCCCACAACACUAAACUUGUAAGAUUCAUUAAUGAUGCAACUUGAAAAUCAGG